GCUUAGCCGUAAACCCUGAUAGUCAAACAACCAACUAUCCGCCAGAGAACUACAAGCGAAAAGCCAAAAACUCAAAGGACUUGACGGUGUCCCACACCAACCUAGAGGAGCCUGUCCUAUAACUGAUACCCCACAUUAUACCUCACCAGACUUCGCACCUGCAGCCUAUAUACCGCCGUCGCCAGCCUACCUCAUGAGAGCUAUUAUAGUAGGCACAACAGCCAACACUAACACGUCAGGUCAAGGUGUAGCUAAUAGACUGGUUGCGAUGGGCUACAUUUUCUUACAAAGAAAACAACGAACAGCAGCAUGAAAACCCUGCCAGAAGGAGGAUUUAGCAGUAAACAUGGCAAGAUGUGCCAUGUUGAAGCCCGCCAUGGGACGCGU
rnacentral:rRNA from 1 species